GGGGGGGGGUGCUAUACAUGCAGUCGAGCGCAGGAACCAGCUGAUCCCCUUCGGGGGUGACGCUGGUGGAAUGAGCGGCGGACGGGUGAGUAACACGUGGGCAACCUGCCUGUAAGACCGGAAUAACCCCGGGAAACCGGGGCUAAUGCCGGGUAACACCUUCUCUCGCAUGAGGGGAGGUUAAAAGAUGGCUUCUCGCUAUCACUUACAGAUGGGCCCGCGGCGCAUUAGCUAGUUGGUGAGGUAACGGCUCACCAAGGCAACGAUGCGUAGCCGACCUGAGAGGGUGAUCGGCCACACUGGGACUGAGACACGGCCCAGACUCCUACGGGAGGCAGCAGUAGGGAAUCUUCCGCAAUGGACGAAAGUCUGACGGAGCAACGCCGCGUGAACGAUGAAGGUCUUCGGAUCGUAAAGUUCUGUUGUUAGGGAAGAACAAGUGCCGUGCGAAUAGAGCGGCACCUUGACGGUACCUAACGAGGAAGCCCCGGCUAACUACGUGCCAGCAGCCGCGGUAAUACGUAGGGGGCAAGCGUUGUCCGGAAUUAUUGGGCGUAAAGCGCGCGCAGGCGGUUCCUUAAGUCUGAUGUGAAAGCCCACGGCUCAACCGUGGAGGGUCAUUGGAAACUGGGGAACUUGAGGACAGAAGAGGAGAGUGGAAUUCCACGUGUAGCGGUGAAAUGCGUAGAUAUGUGGAGGAACACCAGUGGCGAAGGCGACUCUCUGGUCUGUUUCUGACGCUGAGGUGCGAAAGCGUGGGUAGCAAACAGGAUUAGAUACCCUGGUAGUCCACGCCGUAA
rnacentral:rRNA from 1 species